AGGCGAACGGCUGAGUAACACGUGGGCAACCUGCCCUUUGCACUGGGAUAGCCUCGGGAAACCGAGGUUAAUACCGGAUACUCCAUAUCCAUCGCAUGAUAGAUAUGGGAAAGCUCCGGCGGCAAAGGAUGGGCCCGCGGCCUGUUAGCUAGUUGGUGGGGUAGUGGCCUACCAAGGCAAUGAUGGGUAGCCGGGUUGAGAGACCGACCGGCCAGAUUGGGACUGAGACACGGCCCAGACUCCUACGGGAGGCAGCAGUU
rnacentral:rRNA from 1 species